AGCAGCCGCGGUAAUUCCAGCUCCAAUAGCGUAUAUUAAAGUUGUUGCAGUUAAAAAGCUCGUAGUUGAAUUUCGGGAUCAAUUUAUCGGUCGUGCCAACGGUAUGAACUGGUACAAUUGGUUUCUCCCUUCUGAUGAAGCACGAUGUCAUUAACUUGGUGUCGUGGGGAAUCAGGACUGUUACUUUGAAAAAUUAGAGUGUUUAAAGCAGGCCUUGGCUUGAAUACAUUAGCAUGGAAUAAUGAAAUAGGACGUUUGAUCCUAUUUCGUUGGUUUCUAGGAUCGACGUAAUGAUUAAUAGGGAUAGUUGGGGGCAUUAGUAUUCAAUUGUCAGAGGUGAAAUUCUUGGAUUUAUUGAAGACUAACUACUGCGAAAGCAUUUGCCAAGGAUGUUUUCAUUAAUCAAGAACGAAAGUUAGGGGAUCGAAGACGAUCAGAUACCGUCGUAGUCUUAACCAUAAACUAUGCCGACUAGGGAUCGGAUGAUGUUAAUUUUUAAUGACUCAUUCGGCGCCUUACG
rnacentral:rRNA from 1 species